rnacentral:rRNA from 1 species
AAUAGAUACCCUGGUAGUCCACGCCGUAAACAAUGAGUGCUAAGUGUUAGGGGGUUUCCGCCCCUUAGUGCUGCAGCUAACGCAUUAAGCACUCCGCCUGGGGAGUACGGUCGCAAGACUGAAACUCAAAGGAAUUGACGGGGGCCCGCACAAGCGGUGGAGCAUGUGGUUUAAUUCGAAGCAACGCGAAGAACCUUACCAGGUCUUGACAUCCCGCUGACCGCUAUGGAGACAUAGCUUUCCCUUCGGGGACAGCGGUGACAGGUGGUGCAUGGUUGUCGUCAGCUCGUGUCGUGAGAUGUUGGGUUAAGUCCCGCAACGAGCGCAACCCUUGUCCUUAGUUGCCAUCAUUCAGUUGGGCACUCUAAGGAGACUGCCGUACAAAUACGGAGGAAGGUGGGGAUGACGUCAAAUCAUCAUGCCCCUUAUGACCUGGGCUACACACGUGCUACAAUGGACGGUACAAACGGUUGCGAAGUCGCGAGACGGAGCCAAUCCGAGAAAGCCGUUCUCAGUUCGGAUUGCAGG